ACCAUCGUCAGCGUCGGCCCACCACCGCCCCGAGAAUCGGCUGCCGCACCGCCCCUGCUCCGAAAACCAGCCACCGCUUCCCUCCCUUACCGCGCCGCCGCCGCCGCUUCCCUCCCCGGACUGCGCCACCGUCGCCGUCACCCUCCAUGGAUCAUGCCACCGCCGCCUCCCUCCCCGGAUUGCACCGCCACGUCCGCCGCUAGCUACCGCUGCCUGUGCAGUCAUUCGCUAGCUACCGCUGCAGUCCACCGCUAGCUCUCGCGGGGGAGGCAGUGCUGCUCCGGCUACCCAUGCGUCACCGGCUGCCGCCGCGAACGGCGUCCGGACGCCUUCACGUACUGCCCCCCCGAGCCGCCUCCAGCGCGUACCUACUACAGCCUCAGGACAAACCUCUUCCACGCGGGCGACUGGCCGCUCAAACUUCCCCUCGCCGGCCGUCGUGGGUGCCCUCUGUAUCAUCUCAUGGCGGCUCCUCCCCUGUGGCACAAGCAAGGUCAACUGCGGCUGGAUGAGACUCAAAAAAUGGUGGUCAUCGGGCUGGGCACCGGCUGCUUAUGUGUUGUACGCCUUGGGCGUCCCUGUGCUGGUGAUGAGCGUGAUGGCCGUGCAUUGACCUGCAUCGCCUGUCCGAACUGUGCCGGCCAUGCGUCCGACGACCUCGUCCAUCCCUGAUCACCUCUUCCGCGCAAUCAGCCGCACAUAGACAGACAUGCCUGUGCUGUAUUAUACUUGAACUUCAGAGCUUCUGAACUCUCUGAAUCGGUGUGCAUGUUUUUAUAUUGUGUCAUUGCAUAGCUCCACCACUGAAUUUGGAAAUUCAGUCAAUGCUUAAACUUGAUAAAAAAGAGCAAGAAACAGUGACAGAUUAUGUGUGUUUUUCACGGAAGUGAGCUGGGAAUUUAGAUGUUCCUUUUCAUAAUA